AUGGAAAUGCACAUAUGGAGACACAUGCUUUAUAACGAAUCGCUUGUUUGGGUUGACACAGCUGGCUUCUCAAUUGGUGCAGAUACGGAUUCGAGAUUCAGGUCUCCGACUGCCUUUGACGGACCAAUGUUGCAAUGCGGUUGUCUUUGCAUAAGAAAAUUGGUCAUCUAUACAUGCAAGUCAGAAGCCUAAAUAUGCAUAAAGAAGAGUCUUCUAGUACGUUGUCCUUCCACCUUGAAUAUUUCUCUUCCUAUUCACUUAACCAAAUAACCAGCACCAAAAAGAGGGAAAAAAGGAAUCAUUAUUCUAACAUGCAGCAUUUCAAGCAAGUUACAGUAUGCUGAAAGAUUCUUCUGAUGGUGCACCUAUGGUCGAGCAAGCAAUGUAUUCUAGAACCAGAUUUCAAUGCAUCAACCUCUUUUUCAAGGACAGUGCUCUAAUGUUGGGCUAAAUUUUCCUAUGAUUAUUCUAUGGCUAACUUCUUUUUUUCCCCCUUUCUAUUCCAUUUCCCAGCAGCCAAGUGGAGAACAGUUAACUUAUACAAGUGCAAACAUGACCAUGGGCUCGGAGGGGAUAAAAUACAAACCUUGGCUAGCGAACAAGAAAAUGAUUCCAGUUGACCAUGUGCACCACGGUAGAAGUGGAAAUAAGGAAGCACCUUCACAUUCAAACUUUUACACAUAGACUUAUUCUCAUCAAAAUUGACUUUGAGGAACAAAAUUUCAGGGUUUUCUUGGGCUGUCCUGCAGAGCUGCCAGAUUCAUCAAAAGGCAACAUCAGGAAAAACUUGCCAUAGUUCAGAAACAACAUCAGCUAUUUCAAAAAGUGUAUAACAUUAAAUGCUUCAAACAUUAAUUACUUAAAGAGCACAGCUAUUAGCCUGAUUUGAGAAACUGUUAUCAGAUGCAUUCUUGAGUAGAUGCAUGCAGUGAACUGAAAAACUUUUGCUCUGUCAAACAAGAUGAGUAGAUAGUGCAAGCAUCAGUUUUAUUAUUUGGUUACAUGGAAAUGACUAAAUUAUAUUAGUCUCAACAAGCAGUAGUUGCUGGAAAGCGUGCUCCCACCCCACAUGCCCCCUCUUUUCCAGUUAUUUAAUCUGAAGAUCCAUUGCAUUUCAUGGAUAUCUCACACUAAGAGAUUAUGAAUUU